rnacentral:lncRNA from 1 species
CAAUUCAAAAUAGAACAGUCAUCUCAAUUAAAAUCUUUACAAAUUUGGUAAAUAUAUGAAAAAACUAAAAGAAAUAUAACACUAGAGGGGUUGAUGGUUGGGUCGGGUUCAUAUAAGGUUCUAGAUUAAUUUUUUAAGUUUGGGUCUGGUUUGACCCGAAAAAUGAGUUUAUUUUUUUUGUUUAAACAUGACCUAAUUUAAAAAAGGUAAAUCUGAGUUUGACUCAGCCCGUCCAUAUUUGCUUUUCUAAAAUUAGUUUUGUAAUACCCAAUUUUUUCUGCCCGGGCUCGCCAAACAUUUUAAGGCCCAAAAGUAACCUAAAUUACCCUAGCCCAAUACAAACCCAGCCCAAAAUACAAAACUAAGCAGUCAAACCCUAGCAGCAAGUAUCACCACAACCUCCCCGCCUCCAACAAGUGCCCAGUCACCGCAAGACUCGGAGACGACCCUCUCCACGUGCGCGCACACUCCUCAACAGCCUCCGAACCUGCGAAAAAGGAGGCAUACAACGUAGCAAUAGCAACAAACACAACAAAUAUUGUAGGGGAAAUAGAUUUUUUUCCCUAUUAUUUUAUUUUCGGCUAUUUAAGGCCGUUAUCAAUCUGUAAAAGGAGAUUUUGGUGUAAAAGAGAUAUUGAAAAUAAAGAGAAAAAAACUGAAAUUCAAAGGUGAAUCGCGUCUAUUAUUGCCUAUUUUUUGUUUUCUUUGUAUUAUUUGCUUUCUUUUUAUAUACAUAAACAACAAUAAGGAGAGGGAAAGAGAUUACCCCCCAAGAUUCGCCGUUGAAACGACCUUCUCCUCGCCCAAAUCGGAGCUCGACGGAGCGCCAUGGUUCGGUUGGGGCUGAGAGCGGCAGCAGAGGAAAGAAGAAAACCCUAGUUAGGGUCAAUUUGUU